GACGAACGCUGGCGGCGUGCUUAACACAUGCAAGUCGAACGGUGAAGCGAGUGCUUGCACUCGUGGAUCAGUGGCGAACGGGUGAGUAACACGUGAGUAACCUGCCCAUCACUCUGGGAUAAGCACUGGAAACGGUGUCUAAUACUGGAUACGACCAACCCUUGCAUGGGGUGUUGGUGGAAAGAUUUAUCGGUGAUGGAUGGACUCGCGGCCUAUCAGCUUGUUGGCGGGGUAAUGGCCCACCAAGGCGACGACGGGUAGCCGGCCUGAGAGGGUGACCGGCCACACUGGGACUGAGACACGGCCCAGACUCCUACGGGAGGCAGCAGUGGGGAAUAUUGCACAAUGGGCGAAAGCCUGAUGCAGCGGCGCCGCGUGAGGGAUGACGGCCUUCGGGUUGUAAACCUCCUUCAGCAGGGAAGAAGCGAAAGUGACGGUACCUGCAGAAGAAGCACCGGCUAACUACGUG
rnacentral:rRNA from 1 species